ACUCCUACGGGAGGCAGCAGUGGGGAAUAUUGCACAAUGGGCGCAAGCCUGAUGCAGCAACGCCGCGUGAGGGACGACGGCCUUCGGGUUGUAAACCUCUUUUAGUAGGGAAGAAGCGAAAGUGACGGUACCUGCAGAAAAAGCACCGGCUAACUACGUGCCAGCAGCCGCGGUAAUACGUAGGGUGCAAGCGUUAUCCGGAAUUAUUGGGCGUAAAGAGCUCGUAGGCGGUCUGUCGCGUCUGCUGUGAAAACUGGAGGCUCAACCUCCAGCCUGCAGUGGGUACGGGCAGACUAGAGUGCGGUAGGGGAGAUUGGAAUUCCUGGUGUAGCGGUGGAAUGCGCAGAUAUCAGGAGGAACACCGAUGGCGAAGGCAGAUCUCUGGGCCGUAACUGACGCUGAGGAGCGAAAGCAUGGGGAGCGAACAGGAUUAGAUACCCUGGUAGUCCAUGCCGUAAACGUUGGGAACUAGAUGUAGGGACCAUUCCACGGUUUCUGUGUCGCAGCUAACGCAUUAAGUUCCCCGCCUGGGGAGUACGGCCGCAAGGCUAAAACUCAAAGGAAUUGACGGGGGCCCGCACAAGCGGCGGAGCAUGCGGAUUAAUUCGAUGCAACGCGAAGAACCUUACCAAGGCUUGACAUAUACCGGAAAAGGCUGGAAACAGUCUCCCCGCAAGGUCGGUAUACAGGUGGUGCAUGGUUGUCGUCAGCUCGUGUCGUGAGAUGUUGGGUUAAGUCCCGCAACGAGCGCAACCCUCGUUCUAUGUUGCCAGCACGUAAUGGUGGGAACUCAUAGGAGACUGCCGGGGUCAACUCGGA
rnacentral:rRNA from 1 species